rnacentral:rRNA from 1 species
CAGUCGCCACGGUAAUACGGAGGGUGCAAGCGUUAAUCGGAAUUACUGGGCGUAAAGCGCACGCAGGCGGUCUGACAAGUCAGAUGUGAAAUCCCCGGGCUUAACCUGGGAACUGCAUUUGAAACUGUCAGGCUGGAGUCUUGUAGAGGGGGGUGGAAUUCCAGGUGUAGCGGUGAAAUGCGUAGAGAUCUGGAGGAAUACCGGUGGCGAAGGCGGCCCCCUGGACAAAGACUGACGCUCAGGUGCGAAAGCGUGGGGAGCAAACAGGAUUAGAUACCCCGGUAGUCCCUGUCUCUUAUAA